UUGAACUGUACGGGACAGCUGCAGAGAUGCAGUCUUCCUUCGGGACCCGUAUAGAGGUGCUGCAUGGCUACACAAAAGCUCGUGUCGUGAGAUAAAAAAGUUAAAAACACGCAACGAGCGCAACCCUUGCCUCCUGUUGCCAUCAGGUAAAGCUGGGCACUCUGGAGAGACUGCCGGUGAUAAACCGGAGGAAGGUGGGGAUGACGUCAAGUCCUCAUGGCCUUUAUGCCCCGGGCUACACACGUGCUACAAUGGCCGGUACAAAGGGUCGCAAAACCGUGAGGUGGAGCUAAUCCCAAAAAGCCGGUCCCAGUUCGGAUUUUUGCUCCGCUUCUCGCUGCAUGAAGUUGGAAUCGCUAGUAAUCG
rnacentral:rRNA from 1 species